CUUACACAUGCAGUCGAACGCACCUUCGAGUUGAGUGGCGGACGGGUGAGUAACGCGUGAGAAUCUGCCUUGGGGUCGGGGACAACCACUGGAAACGGUGGCUAAUACCGGAUAAGCCUUUGGGUAAAAGAUUUAUUGCCCCAAGAGGAGCUCGCGUCUGAUUAGCUAGUUGGUGAGGUAAAAGCUCACCAAUGCAGCGAUCAGUAGCUGGUCUGAGAGGACGAUCAGCCACACUGGGACUGAGACACGGCCCAGACUCCUACGGGAGGCAGCAGUGGGGAAUUUUCCGCAAUGGGCGAAAGCCUGACGGAGCAAGACCGCGUGAGGGAGGAAGGCUCUUGGGUUGUAAACCUCUUUUCUCAGGGAAGAAGCUCUGACGGUACCUGAGGAAUCAGCCUCGGCUAACUCCGUGCCAGCAGCCGCGGUAAUACGGAGGAGGCAAGCGUUAUCCGGAAUUAUUGGGCGUAAAGCGUCCGCAGGUGGCGAUUCAAGUCUGCUGUCAAAGCACGGGGCUUAACUCCGUUAAGGCAGUGGAAACUGAAUAGCUAGAGUGCCGUAGGGGUAGAGGGAAUUCCCGGUGUAGCGGUGAAAUGCGUACAGAUCGGGAAGAACAUCGGUGGCGAAAGCGCUCUACUGGACGGCACCUGACACUCAGGGACGAAAGCUAGGGGAGCGAAUGGGAUUAGAUACCCCGAGUAGUCCUAGACUGUAAGACGAUGGAUACU
rnacentral:rRNA from 1 species